rnacentral:rRNA from 1 species
AGGUCACUCUUGAUGAUGUCGAGUCUGACGGAGCACGCCGCGUGAGUGAUGAAGGUUUUCGGAUCGUAAAGCUCUGUUGUUAGGGAAGAACAAGUGCAAGAGUAACUGCUUGCACCUUGACGGUACCUAACCAGAAAGCCACGGCUAACUACGUGCCAGCAGCCGCGGUAAUACGUAGGUGGCAAGCGUUGUCCGGAAUUAUUGGGCGUAAAGGGCUCGCAGGCGGUUUCUUAAGUCUGAUGUGAAAGCCCCCGGCUCAACCGGGGAGGGUCAUUGGAAACUGGGAAACUUGAGUGCAGAAGAGGAGAGUGGAAUUCCACGUGUAGCGGUGAAAUGCGUAGAGAUGUGGAGGAACACCAGUGGCGAAGGCGACUCUCUGGUCUGUAACUGACGCUGAGGAGCGAAAGCGUGGGGAGCGAACAGGAUUAGAUACCCCGGUAGUCAGAG